rnacentral:rRNA from 1 species
UACGAGGGGGGCGAGCGUUGUUCGGAUUUACUGGGCGUAAAGGGCGCGCAGGCGGUCUUGAAAGUCAGGCGUGAAAGCCCCGGGCUUAACCUGGGAAUUGCGCUUGAUACUCUGAGACUGGAGUACGGGAGAGGAGAGUGGAAUUCCCAGUGUAGAGGUGAAAUUCGUAGAUAUUGGGAAGAACACCAGUGGCGAAGGCGGCUCUCUGGACCGUAACUGACGCUGAGGCGCGAAAGCGUGGGGAGCAAACAGG